CUGGCCCAAAUAGGUGUUGCCAUUUUAAUAACGAUAAUCAUCCUCGCUCUUCUUGUUUGUUGUGUGUUACCCUGUCUUAAGAAAUGCCUACAAAAGACAGUUGAUCAGACAAUCGACCAGACCACCCCGACCUUCCUUCACCAAGAGAUUGAUGACAUAGACCGUGAUACACCACAUACACCAUUACAGUCCCACCGCACUAAAUCAACAGCUACUUCCUCUUAAGGACAUUCAGGGAUAGCGUCUGUCUCUACGGGCAGAAGUCUGUCGCGGGAGAAGUAGUGGACAAGCUGCUAUGGGUCACCCGCGCAGUGAAGCGUUCGAGGCCUGUUCAGACAGAUGUGCAAGAUAGCCUUUUUGUUAUUUUUCUAUAGGGACAGUAUUAGAGUGAGAGAUAGUAGUUUUUAGUAAAAUUGCCAUUUUAAGGGGGGACUGUUAUGGACAGAUGAAUUAAAAUAAAAUGGCUAUUUACUAAUGUCUAUUUAUUCUGUGUUCACAAUGUUAAAACUGGCUGCUAGAGUAAAUAUUCCCUUCCCCCCCUACAAUGUGUUCAGUUGCUAUUUCCUCUGUAAAUUCCUCACAUCCUGCCAGCCUCCCCCCUUCCCAUCGAGCAAGCCUCAUGUAACAAAAUUCCUCUGUUAAAAGAACAUAUUCCUUUAUUAAACUCCUCCCCCACUUCCUUUGUGCAAAGUAACAGCUAACAAAAUAGAGAAUCACUGUUAAAGAAACUACUCACUCCCCCUCCCAUCGUGUAUCCAAUAUAGGUGGGAGAAGUCUGUAAUGACGACCCUACAUCCUGUAGGGGGGGGGGUAGACAAGACCCCUUAGACUGUUAACCAUUUGAUGAAUGUAUAUUGUAUGUUUAACUGUGACUCUGUACAUGACGUAUUUCUGCUUUAAUAGGAACUCCCACUCCAGGGAAUAAAGGCAUUCCUCAGGUUUUUCACUGAUCAGAAACUUUGUCUCCGGUGUGAAUUACUUCUAGGGAAAGUGUGCACGCAUUAAUUAAUCAAUUUGGAAGGAGUAGAUAGACAAAUAAUCAAAGUUUUCUUUGAUCCAAAACAGUUCUAUGCCACCCGCCAGCGUUAAGAGCCGGGUCCCCAAGGACGGUAUAGAAUGCCCACCAUCCUUAAGGGGUUAAUGGUACAUUUUCAAGCUGGACAGAGGUGGUAAUUUGUUUCCCCCGUGGUUCUGUUCUUGGACUGCUUGUAUUUAACAUAUUUCUAAAUGAUCUUGAAAUAAGCAUUGAAAGUCAUGUUUCAGUGUUUGCAGAUGACACAAAACUCAGUCUGUAAAUACAAUAUGAGCAAGAUACUACUUUGCUACAGAGAGAUUUAGAUAGAGUGUAAACCUAAAGCAUAGCAUUAAAACUUGGCAUCUCUGGAAUUCUAUAAAUAUUUGAUAUAGUGCUUUCCAGGAAAUUGGUAAAAAUAAGAGAAGUAGACUUAUGGUUUAACAUUUGAAUUUUCAUGGCAGUGGUUAAAUCAGAGAGCAGAAGGUUGCUAUAAACAUAACUUCUUCUUUAUUCCUUGUCCUAAUGUAGCGUUGGUUGAUAAACACAUCAUGCACAUUUUCCCAGUAACGGUUGUUGUGUGUCUCAGUUUGUGUUUCGUUUUCUUUUCUUGUUUUCGCAGUUUUUGGUGUGGGCUGCGGGCCUGGGGCCCUUGCUGACGAAGGUGGACGUGGAAUCGGCUUUCCUGCUGCUUCCGGUGCACCCGUAUUGUCAUCAUCUCCUGGGCUGCACCUUUGACGGUUAGUUUUUGGUGGAUAUGUACCUCCCUAUGGUUGCUCUCUAUCCUGUUUUUAUUUUGAGUGCUUUAGCACUUUCCUGGAGUGGGUGGUGCGGAGGGAAGCGGGGGUCAACUCCCUCUUGCACUACCUGGAUGACUUCUUGUGUGUGUGGCCUUCUGAGUUGCAAACGUCUGCACUCUGCUGCUUGGGGAAGUGUUUCAGUGGUUCGGUGUUCCGUUGGUGUAUGAUAAAACCGUGGGUCCAGUUAUGUGCCUUAGUUUCCUGGGCAUUGAGAUCGAUUAAGUGGCCAGAGAAUGUCGGUUGCCCCUGGCUCAGGUUCAAGACAUCCGACAUGUGGUGUCGCUGAGGUUAGGGUGUCGUAAAGUUCAGCUGCGCUGCCUGCAAUGUCUUCUGAAUUUUGCCUGUCGGAUUUUGCCCAUGGGGCGUAUCUUUAACAGGCAUUUGGUGGCGGCGAUGUCUGGGGUCACUUGCUCUCAACACUUUAUUACGCUUACGUGGCCCUUGCGAGAUGACUUGGCUGUCUGAGAUUCCCUCUUGGUCUCUUAUAACGGAAGGACUUACUGGCAGGCCCCAGAAGUCUCUAAUACUAACCUCCACCUGUCUACCAAUGCAGCUGACUCGGUGGGUUUUGGGGCCAUCAUGGGCUCGAAAUGGUGUGCUGACUCAUGGCCGGAUAACUGGCAUGUGGCAGGGCUCACGCGGAACUUGGCUUUCCUGGAGCUCUUCCCCAUUCUGGUGACGUUGGAGGUGUGGGGUCCCCAACUCGCAGAUAGGCGGGUGAUUUUCCAUUGCGACAAUUUGGGGGUGGUGCAGGCUAUUAAUCAAUUGACCACUUCUUCUCCCCCAAUGGUACGCUUGCUGCUGCGCUUGGUCCUGCGCUGUUUGGGGCUUAAUGUGUCUUGUAGGGCUGAACAUAUCCCGUGGGUUUGCAACGUAAUGGCCGAUGAUCUUUCUCAAUCGCAGUGGAACAUGCUUCGGGCAGUGCCUCCGCAGGCCGAAGUGGAGGGCGUCCCAUGCCCAGUGGAGAUGUGGUCGCUAGGUCUGGCAGACUGAUGGAGUUGGUCUGUAGGUCGGUCUCUGCGACCACAUGAGCCCAUUAUAAUAAGGUGUGGAGUAAAUGGGAAAGGUGGAAGCAGUUUUCAGGAUCUCCCCUGUCCCCAGGCGCUCAUGCCUCUUAGGGGCGUGGGAGGCUGCGGGGUUGUCCCCCUCUGUGAUUUCUUCGCAUUUUGCGGGGCUCAACUUCAUGUUCAAGUUCCCGGGGUUUGGAGGAUGCUACCAAAGCAUUUAUAGUCCGCCAGACCCUUAAGUGUUUGUGGUGGGGGUGUCCUCGCGGGUCUCGAGGCAUCCUGUCUCAAGCACUCUACUGGCCAGUCUGUGCAAUUCAUUACCUUGGAUUUGCCAUUCUGUAUUUGAGGCCCGCCUAUUUCGGCUUGCUUUUUCUCUGUUUUUUUGGGGGGCUAUGCGGAUUGGGGAGCUGGUGUGCCUUAAUCAUCAGCAGGUGGGGGAGUGUUGUUUGGUGAUGUUACUUGCACAGCGGACCGCAUUUCCUUCAGGAUUCGCCACUCGAAAUGGAUGUCUUUGGGAGGGGUAAGUAGGUCAGACUUUUGUCCCAUUUUUCCUUCAGUGACUACUGUUCCUUACACCUGGCUUAUCCAGCCCUCCCCCUUUUUGUGCUUGAGGACAGUAGCUUUCUCUCCCACUUCCAAUUCAUUAGUGUGUUCACUUGGGGCUCGAAUUUCUGGGUAUUGAUGGCAUGGAGUUCGGGGGCACUCAUUCCGUGUAAGGGGGGCUACUGAGGCCUCUAGGCUUGGCAUGCCGGUACAGGUAGUACAAAUAAUCGGGAGGAGGGAGUCGCGGUUUUAUAUAUCUUAUGUUCAACUAGCUGGUCUCCUGAGUUGAUUUCUCUCCGCAGAUCCGUUUCCCUCCAGGAUGUGGAUCAUGGAACACACCUAUGUCUAUUGGGCCAGGCGGUGUGCGGCUGUCCGGCCGGGAGGCGAGUGGUUGAGUUUUACGCCUUCCAAAGCGGAGGUUCGGUGGUUUGAUGCAAGAGGCAUGAGGUGGGUGCGGCUCCUCCCUCCUGGCGGGUGUGGCCUCUGGUUCAGUUGUCCCGCCUCCUAGGGGUUCCAAGUGUCAUGGUGAUCCAUCUAGGGGGGAAUGACCUGGGUUCGGUGCCCAUAUGGGAUUUGUUGCCAGCUGUUAAAAGGGAUAUGGCACGCAUUUUAGUUUUAUUUCCUGAUGUACGCCUGGUUUGGUCUGAGGUUAUCGCUCAUAAUUUCUCUAAACUGAAUAGGAGGGUUUCUAGGUUUGUCUUGGAGGUUCGGGGUAUUCCGGUUCGCCAUAGGGUUUUUAAGUGGGAUGCGGCCAAUCUAUUUCAGGGGAUUGGGUGUACUUGACGGAGGUCGAGCUCGACCUCUGUAUCUCGCUCUGCAGGAACCCGUAGAACAGGCUGGGUGGUCUUGGUGGGGUCCCCCGCUCGUUUUAGGCAUAAACAGCAGGGUUGUGGCGGGUGUAUGUCCUUGCCAAAUAAGAUUAAGGUGGUUAGGUUAAUUAUGUGGAAUGAAGUGAGCAAGUUUCAGGUCUCAACCUCCCCUGCUCUAAAGGGUUAACCUUAGGUUACCUGUUAUGAUGUGCCCACCGAGCGAGGAAAAGGUUGGCUGGUGGUAAGUGUAAGGAAAAGGAAUUUAUACCGAGGGGGGAGGUGAAAGGAAGUGGUACGUAGGUGCAUGGUCAGUUUAUUGGCAAGGACGGUUGGGUUACACUGUAUGACACUAUGUGUUAAAUUGUAUGUUAAGUUAUGGUUAUUUAUGUUUUGACGUUUUGGUUAUAUCAAAGAAAAGAGAAUAUUAAACUAAAUUAUGGAUGUG